rnacentral:rRNA from 1 species
GCGAAGCCGCGAGGUGGAGCAAAACCCAAAAAAGACAGUCUCAGUUCGGAUUGAAGGCUGAAAUUCGCCUUCAUGAAGCCGGAAUUGCUAGUAAUGGCAGGUCAGCAUACUGCCGUGAAUACGUUCCCGGGCCUUGUACACACCGCCCGUCAAACCAUGAGAGUUGGCAACACCCGAAGUCGGUAGUCUAACCGCAAGGAGGACGCCGCCGAAGGUGGGGUUGAUGAUUAGGGUUAAGUCGUAACAAGGUAUC